rnacentral:misc_RNA from 1 species
UCCGGUUUAUUACCGGCAGUCUCGCUAGAGUGCCCAACUAAAUGAUGGCAACUAACAAUAAGGGUUGCGCUCGUUGCGGGACUUAACCCAACAUCUCACGACACGAGCUGACGACAACCAUGCACCACCUGUAUCCCGUGUCCCGAAGGAACUUCCUAUCUCUAGGAAUAGCACGAGUAUGUCAAGACCUGGUAAGGUUCUUCGCGUUGCUUCGAAUUAAACCACAUGCUCCACCGCUUGUGCGGGCCCCCGUCAAUUCCUUUGAGUUUCAACCUUGCGGUCGUACUCCCCAGGCGGAGUGCUUAAUGCGUUUGCUGCGUCACUUAGGGCUGGAUAGCCCCAAACAACUAGCACUCAUCGUUUACGGCGUGGACUAC